rnacentral:lncRNA from 10 species
AGACCACAGAUCCCUCUUUCCUAUUAACUCAGAAUGCCCUGGAAUUCCACCAACUUGUGAAUACAGAGCCCCAAGGUGGGAGUGCUUCACAGUCCCGACAACUAGCACUGGUUCAGCAAACCACUUCAUAUCGUCCAGCCUUGGUUUCCUCAGCUAUAAAAACAGAGAUUCCACUUUCUUCAUCCAGGGUGGUUGGCAAAAAAGAGUGGC